CUCAUGCCAGAGGGAGGCACAAGGGGAUGGGGUGCAGGGAGUCCAGGUCCCCUGCACUCUGUCUCCCCAUCUGCACAGCUAGGGAGCCUGAACUGAAUACCUCCAGGGUCUCUUCCCACUGUCUCUCUAGCCUUCUGCACAUUCUGCACACAGAGGCAGGGGGUCCCCACAGCUAAGUCUCUUGUCUCAUUGGUCUUCCUGCAAGUGCCUGUAGCUACCAGGGGCCCCCUUCCCACUAUGGGCAGCCAGGUGCUCUGCUGGGUGCUCCUUUGUCUCCUGGGAGCAGCCACAUUGGGUGGUAGAAUCAUGCAGACCCCAACAUACCUGUCCAGAGAGGAAGGACGAGAUGCGACCCUGCACUGUGAACAGGACUUUGGUCAUGACUACAUGUACUGGUACCGACAGGACCCCGGGCAGGGGCUGAGGCUGAUCUACUUCUCCCCAGAAGAAAAAAUUAUUGAGAAUGGAGACCUGGCUGCAGGCUACCAGGCCUCUCGAGAUAAGGAGGCAUCCUUUCCUCUCACUGUGCCAUCCCCCCAGAAGAACCAGACAGCUGUGUACCUCUGUGCCAGCAGCUUAGACACAGUGGGGCACAGCCACCUCCUGUGGACGCACACGGAUACUGCUGCGCUGAGCUACAGGGGUCGGAAAGAGACAGCGGCCCCUGAGUAG